GAUGAAGAACGUAGCGAAAUGCGAUAAGUAAUGUGAAUUGCAGAAUUCAGUGAAUCAUCGAAUCUUUGAACGCACAUUGCGCCCGCCAGUAUUCUGGCGGGCAUGCCUGUUCGAGCGUCAUUACAACCCUCAGGCCCCCGGGCCUGGCGUUGGGGAUCGGCGGAGCCCCCCGUGGGCACACGCCGUCCCCCAAAUGCAGUGGCGGUCCCGCCGCAGCUUCCAUCGCGUAGUAGCUAACACCUCGCGACUGGAGAGCGGCGCGGCCACGCCGUAAAACACCCAACUCUUCUGAAGUUGACCUCGAAUCAGGUAGGAAUACCCGCUGAACUUAAGCGUAUCAAUAAGCGGAGGA
rnacentral:misc_RNA from 1 species